GAGCACGUAGGUGGGUUUGUAAGUCAGAUGUGAAAGCCUUCUGUUCAACGGAAGAAUUGCAUCUGGAACUACAGAUCUUGAGUGUAGGAGGGGAGAAUGGAACUUCUGGUGGAGCGGUGAAAUGCGUAGAUAUCAGAAGGAACGCCGGCGGCGAAAGCGAUUCUCUGGCCUAUUACUGACACUCAGUGUGCGAAAGCUAGGGGAGCAAACGGGAUUAGGUACCCCGGUAGUCCUAGCCGUAAACGAUGGGCACUAAGUAGAGGGAAUUACCGAUAUUCUCUCUGCCGUAGCUAACGCAUUAAGUGCCCCGCCUGGGGAGUACGGCCGCAAGGCUAAAACUCAAAAGAAUUGACGGGGGCUCGCACAAGCGGUGGAGCAUGUGGCUUAAUUCGAUGCAACGCGAAGAACCUUACCGGGGCUUGACAUGGUAGAAGUAGGAACCCGAAAGGGUAACGAACGGUAUCCAGUCCGUAACUAUUACAGGUGUUGCAUGGCUGUCGUCAGCUCGUGUCGUGAGACGUUGGGUUAAGUCCCCUAACGAGCGAAACCCUUGUUUUUAGUUGCCAUCGGGUUGUGCCGGGCACUCUAGAAAGACUGCCGUCGUCAAGACGGAGGAAGGUGGGGACGACGUCAAGUCAUCAUGGCCCUUAUGCCCCGGGCUGCACACGUGCUACAAUGGUCGGUACAAACGGAAGCGAAGCCGAGAGGUGAAGCGAAUCC
rnacentral:rRNA from 1 species